GACGAACGCUGGCGGCGUGCUUAACACAUGCAAGUCGAACGGAAAGGCCCUGCUUUUGUGGGGUGCUCGAGUGGCGAACGGGUGAGUAACACGUGAGUAACCUGCCCUUGACUGUGGGAUAACUUCAGGAAACUGGUGCUAAUACCGGAUAGGAGCUCCUGCUGCAUGGUGGGGGUUGGAAAGUUUCGGCGGUUGGGGAUGGACUCGCGGCUUAUCAGCUUGUUGGUGGGGUAGUGGCUUACCAAGCCUUUGACGGGUAGCCGGCCUGAGAGGGUGACCGGCCACAUUGGGACUGAGAGACGGCCCAGACUCCUACGGGAGGCAGCAGUGGGGAAUAUUGCACAAUGGGCGGAAGCCUGAUGCAGCAACGCCGCGUGCGGGAUGACGGCCUUCGGGUUGUAAACCGCUUUCGCCUGUGACGAAGCGUGAGUGACGGUAAUGGGUAAAGAAGCACCGGCUAACUACGUG
rnacentral:rRNA from 1 species